AUAAUAAUGGAUUACAUUUAUAUUGCGCUUUUCUAUGAACACAUACUCAAAGCGUGCAUAGUGGCUCCAUUUUUCAUUCGCUCACACAUGCUCCCUCUGGUGGUGGUAAACUACAUCUGUAUCCACUGACGGAAGCGUGACUGCCAAUCUGCACCUACAUCCCCUGCGACCACCACUGAA